GUGGACCAGCCUAUUAGAGGGGCACGAUAAACUCCUUUAUAUUCUCACCUCGAUUGUAGAGGCGCGUAGGGUAUCUCCUGAGGUGGGCUUUUUGAGUGCACUUCACGUGGACCACCGCGUGAGAGUAAGACUCAGCCAACACCAAGGUAUGGCUAGAAUUUCGGAUGUAAAGAUAUUUAAUAGCCUUGGUGGUCUUAGUCAGAUGCCUAGGCCAAGGCAUCCUCGGGAAUGAUUUUGGCAAGAGCCAAGUUUUGUGAGAUAUAUAAGCCAUGUCGAUUA
rnacentral:lncRNA from 1 species